AGAAUAGAUAAGUAUAUUAGAAUGUUGACAUUAAACACAAAGAUACUACUUUGUUCUAUGAGUUCUAACAACUAGAAGAGAGGUCUAAACUUGGACAGAUAAUAUACGAGAAUGUGAACAUGGAGAGGACCAUAUGCUUGUUUGAGGAGCAUCAUGUUCGUAAGUGAUUAUAGAAGAGAGUAUUAGCAAACUCCAACAUGCAGUAGGAAAAAUGAUUUCUCCUAUUCUUUAAUAAUGAUCAUUAGACAUUGAUAUCCUUUUUGAUUCUACUAAGUCUUGGAAGAUGUCAGGCAAAGAACAAUAUGCAAUUCUCUGACAGGGAAAAAACAAAAAAGGUAGAAAACUCCAAAUGGAGUUCUUUGGCUAUAUCCCCUUUAAUGAUAGAGGAUAAAAAUGCUAACAUUACAAAUUGGCUUGUAGCAAAUAAAGUAAAGAGAGUCACAAUCGGUCAGCCUGUGCAUUUAAGCCCAGUCAAUAAAAGAAUGCAUUCUAUGUGAAUCAGAAUUUGUAUGCAAAUGUAGUUCUCACUAUUAAUCAUUAUCAAACUCUAAGCUAAUAGAUAAUCAUGUAUAGUCUAGAAUAUAAAUUUAGAUAUAAUUUCCACUAAAGUUUUGUUGGCUUAUGUAGACACUUCUUUGCAAUUAUUUUGUAUCAAUUGAAUGAUAAAGGGCUUAUGAAUAUGUAACUAAGUUGACUGAUUUGUUUUCUCUAUAAAGGUUUAUGAUUUUGGGAACGCUUAUUGGAGCUAUUUGGAGCUUAGCCAUGUUCUGCUUUUACGUGGUUCUGAUGAUAAAAAACGCAUAAUUACAUCGUGUCUACCUGGUCUCUCUUGUUAUGGUUCAUGCAAAAAAGACUACAUCAGGUUUUAGUUUAAGUAGAGUCAAGACAAUACAAAGACAUAUAACAGAAAAAUUAGUUUAUACUACCGUGAGAUUCGGUGCCUGAGAACAAAUAUGAAGGAAAUGAAUGCGCAGAACCAUGCAACCAUAUCUACUCCAAUUGCUAGAAAAAAAACUUACACUCCUUAGGGUACAUAACGGAGCACCGUUUGGUGUCUAUAACGAAAUGGAUUAUCGGUCCAAGUGAUUGCAUUACUGAUGAUAAAUGUACAAACACAGCAAUCUGUCUCAUUACAACAAGUAGUUAGCAAUAAUAGAGCAAAAGGAGUUUAUUAUUAUUGCUAACUACUUGUCGUAAUGGAACGACAGAUUGUUGUGUUUGUACAUUCAUCAUCAGCAAUGUAAUCGCUUGGACCGGUAAUUCAUUUCAUUAUAGACACCAAACGGUGCUCCAUUAUGUAUUUUCUAGCAAUUGGAGUAGAUGUGGCUGUAUGGUUCUGCGCAUUUAUUUUCUUCAUAUUUGUUUCCAGGCACCGAAUCUCACGGUAGUAUAAACUAAUUUUUUUUAUAUGUAUUUGUAUUUGUCUUGGCUCUACUUAAACUAAAACCUGGUGUAGAGUCUUUUUCUUUGGCAAAUUGUUGAGCAGGAGGGGUCAGUAUGAAAACGAUAUUAUGCUAAUAAACUUCAAGAUUGUUGCGUUUGUACCUUCAUCAUCAGCAAUGCAAUCACUUGGACUGGCAAUCCAUUUCGUUAUAGACAACAAACGGUGCUCCGUUAUAUACCCUAAGGACACUGACAUUGAGACAUGAAGUCAGGAUGGAGAGGAGACGAAGAAGGAGAGGACUGUGAAGA